GGGGAACUAUUUUAACGCUUAUUUGCACGAAAAAGCUGCUUCCAUAAAACCUACUUCGUGCCUUAAAGUACGAUAAAUAGACGAUAAAGAGGGUUUUCUGUAAUGAAAUCGGGCAGAAUAUCGCCAAAUAGGAAGUUGAGUGUGCAUAUUUCCCCGGUGCCAUAUUUGAAAGGCUUGGCUUGACUGGGGCUCUGGAGGAAACUGGUCCGCCCGGCAGUCGGAGCGGAGGAGGGGGCACUCGGCGGUGAGCUCCAGGCGGUGUGUGUGUGAGCUGCAGACGGACACCGACACAUCUCCUCGACGGCUUCUCGAAAUACCUUUAACCGUCGCGGCGAUGGCCACGCUCCUUCUCUAGCGGCCCUUCCGUGUCUCCUGACCGGAUUGAAAGAUGUGAUUGGGAUCGGAGGCAGCUGCACUCCAGUGGUCGAGGACCUCACCCUACACUAGAAUGUACUUGAUGAAUGUGCCACCUGUCGCAGUGACAACAGAAUGGAGAACAUGUGGCCCACCUGGAGGCUAUAGCCUUCAUUGCUUCAAUGACUCUGACCCGGAGUUGUCCACCAGAGGCACACCUAUCUCAGACAAGGUCCAGAUGAUCAUAGAGAGCCUUAGGAGCACCCAGUCCUCACUCGAGAUGGGCGACGAGCUUGAGAGAAAUGUGCUAUCAGGUCAAGACGAUCAUUCCGAAGUCUGCAAGGUUGCAAUGGGUUCUUAUGUAGGAGCCAAUUCCAAAAUUAAAAGCACCACUGAAACCCAGCAAGCUGAUGCCUCCUCCCCAAUCAACCAUGAGAGCAGUGACUCCGACAGUGAUGGUUCUGUGGACAGAGGAAUUGAGGAGGCAAUAGUGGAAUACCUGAAAGAAAAGGGUGAUAACAAACGCAAAGCAGACCCUUGUUCCACGUUUCUCCAAGCUUCCAAAAUUCAGAGGAAGAAUACAGCUAGUCCUGAUGUUUCUGAACAGAUCUCUGACAUUAAUACGUUCAUGUUUUCAAGCAACCCCUAUCCAAACAGUUUCAAAGUCGAAACCCUGGCAGCACCAGCUGUUAUACCGGUAAAAAAGUCUCACAAGAAAAAGGCCUCCCUUAACGACAAUAUUGUGAAGACAUUAGAUUCUGAUAAAAUUCCAAUGAACAAAAGUUCAGCCUUCCAAAUAAAGGUGGAAGAAGACUCCAAUGAUUCCAGUAGUGAUGAUGGCAUCGAAGAAGCCAUUCAAAGAUACCAGCUAGAAAAAAUGGAGCAGCAGAACAUAGGUGAAGAAUUAAAUCUCCCUGCAAUCAAAGGGGAGUCUGAUUCCACAAGCGAUGAUGGGAUUGAAGAAGCUAUUCGCUGCUACCAACUUAAGCAAAUUAAGGAGAAGAGUGUCCUGAAACCAUUCACGAAUACAAAAGAUCCCUGCAGUAGUUUGUUUAUACCAGGUGUUGGAAGGACAAGCAUUGGAAGCAUGAAUAAACCCAAAGUGAGGAAGAAGAAGACCAGAAUGGAGAAAGACGGGAAGUCUGUACCGCCAUCUGCUUUUAUAUCCAAGAAUUCACUAUCAGAGAACCAGAGAGGUAAUGGAAAUGGUUUACUUUCCUUUAAAGUGGAAUAUCUUAAAGAUCAACCUACACCUGCUCCUCCAAAGGCGAACACAACGGCAGAGCUCAUGUGUGCUGAGGCAAUAUUGGACAUUUCGAAAACUGUUUUGCCUGGAGUCUUCCAUCCCAGUGUUGACCUUGGCAGUUGUGCCACCAAUGAAUCUCCCUCAAAGUGUUCAACUCCCGACACUUGCCCAGAUGAGGAAAGUGAUGACAGCUCCAUCGAUAGUGAAGAUGGGAUUGAGCAGGAGAUCAGAAAUUUUCUUGAGCAGAAGGCCCAAGUUAACAAACUGCCACCUUGCUCCUCUGUUACCCAAGAGCCUCAGAGUGAGAAUGAUCCAGAAAAAGUGAAAGCAAAACAAGUUGCAACCCAGAAGAAACCUUCAAGACUGUCGGUGACACAAAGAAGAAAAUUCAAAGAGGAAAACAGUAGCGAACCCAUCAUGUCAGGUAUUGAUAAAAACAGUCAGACUCACCCAAUAGCUAGAUUACAUAAGACUGAACAAAGUGGAGAUAAAAGCAGCUCACUUGACAGUGACGAGGACCUAGACACUGCUAUAAAAGACCUGCUCAAGACAAAAAAGAAGACAAAGAAAAAGACAAGAGACUUGAAGCGGCAAUCAAGGAUGUGCCUUAAUGAUGAAGAAUCACUGCUAACAAUUGCCUCACAGACCAAAAAGUCCAAACCUGAGCCUUUUUCUAAGCGCAGUGCUGUGAAGAAAGUGCGGAAGAAUAAAGAUGAAGUGAAAGAUACGACUGGAUUGAGUCAGAAGACCUUUUCUCAACCUAAACAAACCGAUCAAAGUAGAAAGCAGGAUGUGCAUGGAGGUGAAACACGGACAUUGAAAGGGACUGACGGUCAAGACUCCAUGUCGCUGCACAACUCUCACACUCUUCUUGAGGUAAAGGAAGACAGUACUUCAGUAGACAGUGACGAUAGCAUUGAGCAAGAGAUCAGAAGAUUUCUGGCUGAAAAGGCCAAAGUUCCGACUGCAGUGAAAUGUAAAGACGCAGAUGUAUCACAGAAUGGUACUGUUGUGGUUUGUAGCCCACUUCGAGAAGAAGAUGUCAAACAGGAAAAUCAGCUGGCUGAAAUUCCAAGACAAAGUAUCACCAACCCUUUCUCUAGACAGUCUCUUCCAACCCCACAGAGUUGGGUGCCAGACAUCUCAACCGUUGGUGCACAGUCACGUCCGUCCUCAGUCCAGUCAUGUAGCCCAAGUAUUUUGGUGCCAGCAGAUGGGGCAGGGGCUGCUAGAACCGAGCAAAGGUGGUCCAACACGGGAGGAAGUGAAGUACAGGAAGUCGCCCCACAGCCCGAGAGACUUAAACCGGUUUUGACUUCCAGCAUUGCCCAUUCUCGUUCUGAGUCAAUCAAGUGGCGUCAGAGCCUGGGACUUCCAAUUACUGACACAGGGACUCUCAGUCGGCUACCAUUCCUUAUCACCUCAUCUAAAAUCAGCAAGACUGCAUCAGCAACUCUACCAUAUCAAAGCACAGGCAUCCACCUCAGUUCACAGACUCCAGUCUCUGCUUGGUCCUCCACAAGGACCAGUGUAGCACCCUGCCCCUGGACUACAGAGAAGACUGUGAAUGCCAAAUACAGAUCCCCUGUUUUGAACAUAUUGUCCUCUCCCAGGCAGCAACCAAGGUUGUCCUUUACACAGAGCCAGGCACCUGGCCACAGCUCAACUUGCCCUUUAGAAGGAGAGACGCAGAGUAUGGUGCAUAUGCCUAAGGACAAGAGUGUGUUUGUUGAACUGGAAUCAAACAGGACCAACCAUGUCCAGGUUCGAAGCAGGGAAAGGAGCGAGGGAAAGGAGAAAACAGAUUUGCUAGUUGAGAUAAAGAAAGAAGGCAAGAGAUUGAAGAUAGGUGAUAAAGAAAUGCAACUAGUAAGAAAACAGGAAGAAUUUGUAGAUGAGGCAGAUUGUGAGUCAGUCAACAGGGGAAAUCCAGAGAAGAAGCAGGGCUUUUCCACAUUCAAUGUAACAUAAUGGGACCAUUAUGACAAGAGGUUGAUCCAGAUCACUGAGCCUUUGAAAAACAAUACACUGACUGAAGAGGCAGACUGCAUGGGUAGAACUGCAAUCCAAAUUCACAAUACUUUCUUGCAGAAAAUGUCCUAAAUAUCCAUGACAUUUUAUGACAAAAGAAUUGAUCCAGAAAAUAACCUGUCAGAAAAGUCCAUAAUUCUAAAAGUAAGGAUGGUAUCUUAUCUUAGGUGUCACUGGAAAACCUUGAAUUAUAAAUCAGAAAAAUAUGUCAUAUCUAAACUUAAAGACCAUUUUAUGUGCAAAAGUUAAAAAGUAAUCAUUGUUCAUGUUUUAUCAAUGUCCUAUUUAGUUGUAUCUCAAUAAAAGCCAGAACACAAAUAUAUAUUUUAUGAUUAGAAAUGUCAAAUUUGGAUGUCCAGUACAUCAAACAUGAUUUUACACAGCUUGGUUUCAUUGCUAAGGUGGUUCGGGAGCAGGGGGGGCUUGUGCAUCGGAAACAUGAAUAGAGCUGAAACCAUUGAUUGAUCAAAAGAAGAUUAAAUAUUUAAUGUGUUUUUCAAAACUGGUUCCGUCUUCUCAAAUGUAAGUUUGCUCCUUUUCAUCAUCAAAAUAUGAUACACUGCUUAAUUUAUGUGCUUUUGAACUGUCGGUCGUAGGAGAAGAACACAUUUGAAGAUGUCACCUUGGGCCUUUUCGCCUCUUUUUACUACGUUCCUUAGAAUAGAAGAUGGAUCAGUUGAUUUACAAAAUAAUUGGCUGAUUAGUCACUCACAAUAAUGACAAUAUUUGUUAAUAGCGAACCAUAACCCUAUUAUUGUGGAUAUCAUAUGUAGAUGCAACAAUCACAUGUCAAAUUUUCCUAAAUCCAUAUCUUUAGUAAAAACGCCCCUGUUGCCACUGUAAAAAAAAACAAACUCAAAUUCAAAUCUGAUUCACGAAAUCCUUUCUAACUUUUGUACAUAAGAAGAAAAUGUCAAACUUCAUCGAUCCCUACUAGGCACCUUUUUGCCGAGCUAUUGUAGUGGAACAAGCGUGUGUCAAUUCUCAGAUAAACAGAAGAUAUAAUGAAUUUACCCCAAAUUUGUUUGUUAGAAACAGUGCCUUUAGUUCACUGUAUGGUUUUAAAUUGAUAGAUGGGAAGUUGAAGCUCAGUUGUUGACGUAAGCCACUAUAACAGUCUUGGACUUGACACCUCUACGACUCAAGUGUCGUUCCACUUUCCACAGAAGCCACAUUAUUACUUCUCUCUGUUUUUCUCAAGUUAAUAUUUAGUGUGUUCAUUUCUUUGUCAUGUUAAAGUUGUCUUGAAAUUCCUAUGUGAAAAAAGGCUAUUUAUUUUUGUUUAUCAAAAAAAAAGUUACCGAACAUGCUGUGCAUUGCCAGGUUUUGUAAAUAUUUUGUAAGAAGUGUUUUUUUUUGUUUUUUUUCAUCGUGUCUUUCAAUGAAAAAAACUUUGCCGUGUCUUAAGUGCAUCUGUGUAAUAAAGAGUGUGAUCCAAACAGCAGUGGGUCGUCUUCAUUAAUAUAGUUGGAUUCUUUGCAGCCCUUGUACCUUAAGAUGGAUGCUUUCAUGAAGUACGGUAUUUGAUUGUUAUAUUAAUGAUGAGUGGUCUGAUGCUUGUCCUGCUCUGCCUUGCCCAGGUCUUUGUCCAGUGCCAUUGACCCUGGCAUCACCAUCAGACCUUGCGUAGCUCUCACCACAGAGGAGAGAAGCAGGAUGUUCUGCAGGAAGAACCUGUCUGAAAAUUGCAAGAAGGUACAAUAAAAUAAAACAAGUUUCGAAGCUUCACCAUUUGUAUCCUUUUCGUGAUGAAGCCAGAUGUUCAUCAAAACGUUGUCCUGGCCCUCUGCAAGUAUUAAAUAUGUUAUUCGCAAUGCUUGCAGGGGAAAGCCUCUUGCGUUAGAAUACCUGUGCAGAAAAGAAAGAGACUGCAGGGCGUCAAAAGAAAGCUGCAGUUCGUUCCAGUGGACAGGAGAAGUGAAGCACCCAGCAAGCAACGCAUGACCAAAUAAAACAUGAAUUUGCAUUCAAAAUGUGCAUGUAGAACAAUGUCUGAUGUAACAGUCUGCAGGUUGUUGGAUAAUUACAUUGUACCUAUCUUAAGUGUUGGUUUAUUGAAAGUUUCUUGUUAGUUUUUAUGUUCCGAACUAAUGGAAGUUUGAUAUUUUGGAAUAUACCCUUAAUGGUCCCAUUUCUUUUUUGUUUAGAAAACAAUGAUUAAUGCCUUGUUUAUAAUGUUACACAAGUUGAACAUUUAGUAGAGCGUCCAAAAUUCGCAGCAAUACAUGGGGGGAAAAAAGUUCAAGUUUAAUAAUUUGUUCAUGCAGCAAGUAAAAGGAAUUUCGUUUUGGAGGAAGAAAGUAAAUUCUAAUAUGCAGAAUCUUAGUAUUUUUGUUAAAUGCUGUUAUAUAUUUAAUUCCCAAUGGGUUGUCCAUAGAUGAAAUGGGUUACUCUUCACACUGCAGCGGUUGUUAAUAGAAUAUCUUUAAUGUGUCAUCUUUAUUGCAAAACAUGUUCCUAUGGAGUUAUUUCAUGACGUUAAUAUUUAUAUACAUUUUAUAGCUCUGUAAUAUUAUUGCAUUGCUUCCAGUGGUGUUGAAGUUUUUCAAUAAAGUUGUUCACAACAAGUAA